CAAUGAAGUAAUCUUACACUGAUACAGAUACUUUCAUUUUAUUGAAAGUAUAUCUGUUUUAGGUCUGGGAUUCUUUUGUGCAAAUAUUACUGGAAAUACACUGAGAAGAUGUUUUUGGAUUCUAAUCAUAGGAUUAACAGAUGCCAAUUUCAGGUGAAAUUAAAUGCGAUUAUUAAAGCGAUCUGUCUCUGACCUGAAGUUCUACUGUUGAAAGUUAUUUCUUUAGAAGCAAAAUGUCUGUUUUUCUAAAGACUUUUAUACAUUCCUGUAUAAUACAUCACAUGUACCAGCCAGCAUUUUGACUGGAAAUAUAUAAUCAUUACAACAUGCCGGGUCACAUUUAAUUUUCAUUUAAACAUGAAUAAGAGAACGCCAGACAGUCUUGUUUCUCAUCGGAGUUAGUGCAUCAAAGGGUGAAAAUCUGAUAAGACAUUCUUGUUGUAUUUAUUUGAAGAACAGUGUAAUGUUUUGUUUUGAAUUGCCUAUAACUAUGUUAAAUAAAAAAUGAGUGUUCUAAAUGCAAUACAGAUAAGAUUAUGUAACAAUACCAAGGCACUGUUGUACAUGCACUUUUGGUUUCGAUAACAUAUAAUCAUAAUGUCAGAUUAAGAUGCAAUUAUGUGAAUAAAAGGCGACUGCAAAAUUUGCUUCAUCCCUUUCUGAUUAAUGACUUUUUAAUAGAAUAACACUGAAUUGUAAUCCAAAUUUAUUCUCCCUCCUGACUUUCUAUCUUUACCAAAUUACUGAAUGGUAUAGUUUUCAUUGAUGUAGAGUAUCAAGAGAACUGAAUUUAUUAUGUAUAACACGGAGUGUCUCGCGAGUUAACCCAUUACGAAGUGGUACACAACAAUAAUUAACCAUAUCGUUCCUCGGAAAUAAGAGCAAAAAUGUUCCUUGUAAACAUGAAGUCAUUGGGCCAACGACGGAAAACCGUCAAAGGAUAAUGAUUACUGAGUAUUGUUAACACAGCUGUUGGGCCAACGUUGAAUCAACUUUAAAUUUCAGCCACUGCAUUGGCCCAAUAUUGAUUUUCCGGGAAAGACUUAUACAGAGAAAACAUAAAAUAAUAUUUUUACAGGUCACUGUUUUAUCACAAACCCCUUCAGGUAUACACGUUGUGUAGCUGUAACAUGCAAUAUUUAAUUAAUAAUUAAAUACUUUUCUGCACCAAUUCGUAAUUAGUUAAAUUUGGGCUAAUUUAACUUUAAACUUAUUUGCAGCCGUAAUGAUAUUUUGAAUUAUAUCAAAUCUACUACCUUGAAAGUUAAAUUAAAAUUAUAUUGAAAAAAAAUGCUACAUGUAAUAUAGCUUAUAUCUAAUUCUAUACAAUCAUAAAAUGUUUACAAUAAAUCUGUUGAAUACUCCAGAACAUGAACUCUCGUUAACCCGAGUUAUGUAAGAAAUCCCAGAAAAUGUGGUUAAUUUCACUCUCUAGGCCAGAUUUCCAGCUGCAUAGACAUGUGAAGUAAAGGAAACUAUAUUAUACAUGUGAUAGAUCUAGAUUUAACAAAAACCCGGUCUACUAGCUAUAAACUGGUGCUGUCCAAGAGAUAAAUAAUGGAGUGCCCAGCACUGUGCACACGGAGAAAAAAGAAAAAUGUAGAAAGCUGCAACUUCAGUGAGAAAAGAAAAUAAUUAAACAAAGAUAUAUAUAAAUGAGUUAAAAUACAGACAGUAAUUCACUUUAGUAGGAUUUAAUCAGUGACAAAGAAAAAUAGGUAAAUAGAUUUAUAAAAGACUGGAAUAUUUGACAUGUUGAAGUGAUGAAAUAUGCAGUUAUAUUCUUCUGAAAAAUUGCAAACUUUAAAUGAAUGUUAGAUUUCUUUUUGUUAAAUGUUGAUAAAAUCACAACUAUUUGAAAAUAAUAUACGCACUAAAAGUGUUA